GAUGAACGCUGGCGGCGUGCUUAACACAUGCAAGUCGAGCGAUGAAGUUUCCUUCGGGAAACGGAUUAGCGGCGGACGGGUGAGUAACACGUGGGUAACCUGCCUCAUAGAGUGGAAUAGCCUUCCGGAAGGAAGAUUAAUACCGCAUAACGUUGAAAGAUGGCAUCAUCAUUCAACCACAGGAGAAAACCGCUAUGAGAUGGACCCGCGGCGCAUUAGCAAGUUGGUAGGGUAACGGCCGAGCAAGGAGACGAUGCGUAGCCGACCUGAGAGGGUGAUCGGCCACAAUGGGACUGAGACACGGCCCAGACUCCUACGGAGGCAGCAGUGGGGAAUAUUGCACAAUGGGGGAAACCCUGAUGCAGCAACGCCGCGUGAGUGAUGAAGGUUUUCGGAUCGUAAAGCUCUGUCUUUGGGGACGAUAAUGACGGUACUCAAGGAGGAAGCCACGGCUAACUACGUGCCAGCAGCCGCCGUAA
rnacentral:rRNA from 1 species